GAUUUGGAUUACGGAUACGUGUGACAUACCUUGUCAGUACUACUUUCUUUAUUGACAGAUACAUCUCCAUGCACGAGUAUCAACCCUUCCAAAAAAUCCUGUAUCGUUACUUUCGCAAUCAUCGGUCAUCUGAAUAUAGUUUUCUGAACGAAUGUAUCUUGUAUGAUCAACAGUCAUCUAACAUCAGGCAAAUCUGAGGUCUACACUGGCGACAUGUGGCAGCUCGAUGCGUGACUUCAUGCCCAGUAGCAGGAGGAAUUUACUCAUCACUGCACAGGAUAUGGGGCACGCUAUGCUCCAUGUUCCGAGGUCUCCAGGCUGUGGGCGAAAACCAGCGUUGGGUAUGGCGAACACCCGUGGAGAGUACAGUGUCCACAAAGUUGUGAGGUGCCAUCACAACCAGCGCCACAAGGAAUCGCGUGGAUAGCGAGGCGUCUUCAUGAGGGAAAGCACGAAUUUGAGGAAGUCAGUGGUGGUGGUGUGUGUCCACUUUUGUGACGGCUCCCCUCUGACGGAUCUGAGAAGAACGACGGAAACAUGUAGGUUAGGAGGAUUCAUGAUCGGGGUGCGGACGUCGUCUACAUUUUGACUUCUGUUUCUUGACGGAUACUUAGUCUAAAAUAAACUCCUUGCCUGC